ensembl:lncRNA
UAAUGAUUCACUUUAUAAAUAAGAUGAAACAAAAUGUUAUAUAAUUUCUUCAUUAUUCUAGUAGCAAUCUACAAUAAAACUUAAUGUUUAAACAAUUUCUUAUGCUUUUUUACUCAAACCUUUUACAAUUUUGUAAUUAAUUUAUAAAUCAAAAUAACUCGAAGAAAUGCAUAUACAAAUUUGUGACAUACUAGCCUCCUGUAGUCCCUAUUUAAUCAUCAAUUUUCAGAUACUUUGGGGGUUAGAAAAAAUAUAGAAGAUACUGUUAAAGGGCAAGAUUCCACAGUUAUGCUGCUAAGAAACACAUGUUUAGUAGCUAACUGCUCCGUGUAAUAAAAAGGCAGUGAGUAUUCACUUUUUUAAAAUGUGUCAUCAUGGAGUAUGCAAUAUAGGCAUCUGUGUGUUCCUGAAGUGUAUUCCAUGCCUGCUCAACUGAGUUUUCCUGUGAGCCAUUCCAGCAUUGUUUCAGGGGAAGAAAAAUAUUGUGACAUCUCUUCAGAUAUGUUUGCAAACAUUGUUAGUUCAUAGUAAUGAAGAGAUUCAUUAAAAUGAAAAUCACUAAGAGCCCCUUGAGAUUUGUCUUAGAAAAUGGUUAAAAAUCCUCCCGAGCUGCUGGGUUUCCACCAGCCUUUCUUUUUCUUCACCUCCUGCCUUACAGAUGUAACACAUUGUCCAUAGGGACCCUGGAGAAGGACCCUGGCAUAGCUCACUCCCUGCUCCCCAUCCCGGAAGCUCCUCUGCGGUCUGGGUUGACUCUUCUCAGAGCCUGAGACUGUGUAACUGACAUCAGUGUGUUUCUUAGUGUCCAGCUUUAACAUGCCGAAUGCCCAGGAAUGGAAAGAUGGCUUUCCUAUGAGGAAGUAAAAUUUUGAAAACUGUUUGUCUCUACCAUCUAGUCCACCUGUGUGUGACAACGUAGAGUUGAGGUGCUACUGGCCCUUCCGGUUCAACUAACUUAGCGAAGCUGCUGAUGAAGCUGAAGAUGAGACCAAGAGGAGCGACUCAAUAAAAUUCAUAGAAACAGAUUGGGGGUGGAGGGGUGAGGAGUGU